AUACGGAGGAUGCGAGCGUUAUCCGGAUUUAUUGGGUUUAAAGGGAGCGUAGGUGGGAUAUUAAGUCAGCUGUGAAAGUUUGGGGCUCAACCUUAAAAUUGCAGUUGAUACUGGUUUCCUUGAGUACGGUAUAGGUGGGCGGAAUUCGUGGUGUAGCGGUGAAAUGCAUAGAUAUGACGAAGAACACCGAUUGCGUAGGCAGCUGACCAGACCGCAAAUGACGCUCAUGCACGAAAGUGCGGGGAUCGAACAGGAUUAGAUACCCUGGUAGUCCGCACAGUAAACGAUGAAUACUUGUUUUCGGCGAUAUAAUGUCGGAGGCAAAGCGAAAGCGAUAAGUAUUCCACCUGGGGAGUACGCCGGCAACGGUGAAACUCAAAGGAAUUGGGGGG
rnacentral:rRNA from 1 species